UCUAAAAGAUGCAUAAACGGCGAUUUAGAAAAUAAUCUAAGUAGGCAGUAUGAAAUGUCAGUUAUUAAAUUUUAGUUUGUUUUGUGUUGAAUAAAAAGUCUGAAUUUAAUAGGAAAGAGAAGAUGUUUCAUUUGGAGAUGAUGAUAUUCUUAGUCUUCUGUCCGAAAAUGUAAAUUCUGUUUUGGACGGCGAAGACAAGAUGAAAUAUUCACAAUUAGGGGAACCUCCACCUCCGUGAAUUCAAGAAGAUUUUAACGAUGAAACUUUAAUUUUUUCAAUAAAAUUUUCUAGUCAGAAAA